rnacentral:lncRNA from 1 species
GGAGUUACAGCCAGCCAGCCUCCUGCACGGUGAUAGCACGGGGUUACAGCCAGCCUCCUGCACCGUGAUAGCACGGGGUUACAGCCAGCCAGCCUCCUGCACCGUGAUAGCACGGGGUUACAGCCAGCCUCCUGCACCGUGAUAGCACGGGGUUACAGCCAGCCUCCUGCACCGUGAUAGCACGGGGUUACAGCCAGCCUCCUGCACGGUGAUAGCACUGGGUUACAGCCAGCCAGCCUCCUGCACGGUGAUAGCACGGGGUUACAGCCAGCCUCCAGCACCGUGAUAGCACGGGGUUACAGCCAGCCAGCCUCCUGCACGGGGUUACAGCCAGCCUCCUGCACGGUGAUAGCACGGGGUUACAGCCAGCCAGCCAGCCUCCUGCACGGUGAUAGCACGGGGUUACAGCCAGCCAGCCUCUUUCUCAUUUUAUCUACUAUUCUAGCUAUUUAUUUUCUAGGGUAUACUUCAAUGCUUGGGAAGGGGGUUUUAAAUAAUUAAGGGGACACUAUAUUCACCAGAACAGCUUAAUAUAGUUGUUCUGGUGAGUAGAAUAGCUCACUUCAGGCAUUUUUUAUGUAAAGGUAGUGUUUACAUUGCCUCUAGGAACACCUCCAAAUGGCCACUGGAGGUGGUGCUGAAAAAACAGCCCUGACGUUCGGCAUCCCUGCGCUCUGCAUGCAGGCACAGAAUUUUACUCAUAGAUGCAUUAUUAUGUUAUUAUUUAUAUAGCACCAACAAAUUGUGCAGUGCUUUACAAUGCAUUGAUUCAAUGCAUCUCUUUGAGGAAGUCCUGAUUGGUCAAAAAAAGCAUUUGGCCCCGCUCCCGUGCUGAUUUUAGCCAAUCUAAUGCUUUCCCAUCGCCAAAAAUUGGCCAUUUUGAUGAUGUCACAAAGGGGGCAGGGCCAGUGCCAGCUGACCCGCACGGCGCUGGAAAUAGUCAGUUUUAAAAACUUGUGUGGGGGCAAGCCACCUAAAUGGUGGGAUAAACACUAUAGGGUCAGGAAUACAUGUUUGUUCCUGAUCCUGUAGUGUUCCUUUAAGCAUAUGCGGACAGGAAAAAAAAUGAAUGCAAGGACUUUUCUCCCGCUAACAGAAGAUCAGGGCGGUCAGAGCAGAUUCAUCUUUUUUUAUUUUACAUUGAAUUUAUAUUCCUCUGCACAGUUCUGCAAAAACAACUGUGUGGUGUGAAUCCAAAAUGAUAGGUUCUUUCCAGGUGAAGAGUAAAAUAAAGCCAAGACUAAGUUUUACAAACAAAGGUUAAUCCUUUAUUGACCAAUUUGUUUAUUAACCACUUAUGGACCCCAUGAUGUCGAAUGCCUCCCAACUUUGGAAUGUGUGGGUGGAGUUUUGUGGGGGCUCGCCAGGGAUACAUGCUAUAAUGCCCACAGUGGGGUGGACUGUGUAAGUAAGGGUUGGUCUUGUUCAACAAGAGGACUGGCCAACCUGAAAAUGGGUAGGGUGUGCCAUCCGACAAGCAGCCUGGCAAGCCCCCUUCAAUCAGGACCGUAAAGAGAGCGCAGAUAAAGCGCUCCCUGCAUGGUCCUAAUGCUGCUACACAGCACAAGUACUAAUGAUUUGCUGCUGCACGGGGACAGUUCCUUGGUGUCCAGCCAAAAGCAGGACAGUUGGGAGGCGUGCUUUCAUGCCCAGUGACGCAGUAGACCAUCAUAUAUAUAUAUAUAUAUAUCAUAAAUAUCAUUGUGUGUGUGUGUAUAUUUUUUAAUGUAGACACAACUUCUUAAGACACAUGAGAUAUUUUAAUUUUACAACUGCUAUAUUUUAUGAUUACGG